GUUCUCUAUAUGAUCUAAGGAACACAAAGGACUAUCUUCCUAAACACUACCUAAAAGAUUUGUCUGAAACUUUAUUGCUAUUUACACAGCCCUAGAAUCCAUCAACAAGUAGAUUAAUCGUUAGUAUUUAAUUUUUUCAAGGACAGUGAUGAAGAACAAAUGGGAAAGAAAACUCUCUGAUCCUAUCUCUUGUUCACCCUACCAUAAAAAUACUUUGGUAGCAAGUGAGCUUGGUCAGAAUAAUCAUCCUCCUGACGUAGCAUGCUUCAAUGUCAGCACCAGGG
rnacentral:misc_RNA from 1 species